AGAUGAGUCACGAAGAGCGAGGAAAAGUUGGGAAGGACAAUAAUUUUCCUCCAUGGAAAAUAAUAAUCGCAUCAGAUAAACCGAAACCGAGACCGAAACAAUAGUCAUCUGCGAGCGGACGAGAUGGCUAGGAAUGAAAAAACCCUCACCAAAAACGGUCUAAUUUGAUACCUUCCUUCCGCUAUCCGCUGCCGUAAAAUCUCCACCGGUAAACAAUGACGCUGCUGACAAUGCUGCAAUGUGACAUCACCAUGUACCUGUUACUGUAGCAGGUUUACUCAAAGCGAGAAUAGCUCCAAGCCUAAGCAACAUUGCAAGUUUUAUCAAGGUUUUAUAGCAUUCUACAAGUCUAAAUCAUGGUCUACAGAACCUUCAUAAAACCAGAAAUG